rnacentral:sRNA from 1 species
AGUGAUUUCAAUUGUUUUUACGCCAAUUGUAAUUUUAUUUUAUCUGCAGUUUUAUUUUUUGCUGGUUUGGUGGUAAGGUGUCACGUACAAUGGCUGUUGCGCUUGAUGUCUACAACUUGUUUGCGUAUUUACUGACAUUGAUUGUUAUGUAAAUAGUUAUUUUGUACGUAUGUAUGUGGUAAGGUGC